UGCCAGCAGCCGCGGUAAUACGGAGGGUGCAAGCGUUAUCCGGAAUUACUGGGUUUAAAGGGUGCGUAGGCGGAACUAUAAGUCAGAGGUGAAAUCACACAGCUUAACUGUGUAACUGCCUUUGAUACUGUAGAUCUUGAAUUAGGUUGAGGUUAGCGGAAUGUGACAUGUAGCGGUGAAAUGCAUAGAUAUGUCAUAGAACACCAAUUGCGAAGGCAGCUAGCUAGGCCUAUAUUGACGCUGAGGCACGAAAGCGUGGGGAGCGAACGGGAUUAGAUA
rnacentral:rRNA from 1 species